CUACGGGAGGCUCCAGUCGAGAAUCAUUCGCAAUGCGCGAAAGCGUGACGAUGCGACGCUGCGUGUAGGAUGACGGCCUUCGGGUUGUAAACUACUGUCAGAAGGGAGUAAUGUGUUGGAUAUUAAUACCAUCCAGCAGUGAUAGUACCUUCAGAGGAAGCCACGGCUAACUCUGUGCCAGCAGCCGCGGUAAUACAGAGGUGGCGAGCGUUGUUCGGAUUUACUGGGCGUAAAGGGUGCGUAGGCGGUUUUGUGUGUCAGAUGUGAAAGCCAACCUUUCAUGGGUUGAAAUGCAUUUGAAACUGCAGGACUAGAGUACGGAAGAGGAGAGCGGAAUUCAUGGUGUAGCGGUGAAAUGCGUAGAUAUCAUGAAGAACACCGGUGGCGAAGGCGGCUCUCUGGUACGUAACUGACGCUGAGGCACGAAAGCUAGGGUAGCGAAAGGGAUUAGAUACCCCAGUAGUC
rnacentral:rRNA from 1 species